GACGAACGCUGGCGGCGUGCUUAACACAUGCAAGUCGAACGGAAAGGCCCUGCUUUUGUGGGGUGCUCGAGUGGCGAACAGGUGAGUAACACGUGAGUAACCUGCCCUUGCCUUUGGGAUAACUUCAGGAAACUGGGGCUAAUACCGGAUAGGAGCUCCUGCUGCAUGGUGGGGGUUGGAAAGUUUCGGCGGUUGGGGAUGGACUCGCGGCUUAUCAGCUUGUUGGUGGGGUAGUGGCUUACCAAGGCUUUGACGGGUAGCCGGCCUGAGAGGGUGACCGGCCACAUUGGGACUGAGAUACGGCCCAGACUCCUACGGGAGGCAGCAGUGGGGAAGAUUGCACAAUGGGCGGAAGCCUGAUGCAGCAACGCCGCGUGCGGGAUGACGGCCUUCGGGUUGUAAACCGCUUUCGCCUGUGACGAGGCGUGAGUGACGGUAAUGGGUAAAGAAGCACCGGCUAACUACGUG
rnacentral:rRNA from 1 species